rnacentral:rRNA from 1 species
GACGAACGCUGGCGGCGUGCUUAACACAUGCAAGUCGAACGAUGAAGCUGGAGCUUGCUCCGGUGGAUUAGUGGCGAACGGGGGAGUAACACGUGAGCAAUCUGCCCUUGACUCUGGGAUAACUGCGGGAAACUGUAGCUAAUACCGGAUACGAGGCUCGAAGGCAUCUUCGGGUCUGGAAAGAAUUGCGGUCAAGGAUGAGCUCGCGGCCUAUCAGCUUGUUGGUGAGGUAAUGGCUCACCAAGGCGACGACGGGUAGCCGGCCUGAGAGGGUGACCGGCCACACUGGGACUGAGACACGGCCCAGACUCCUACGGGAGGCAGCAGUGGGGAAUAUUGCACAAUGGGCGAAAGCCUGAUGCAGCAACGCCGCGUGAGGGAUGAAGGCCUUCGGGUUGUAAACCUCUUUUAGCAGGGAAGAAGCGAAAGUGACGGUACCUGCAGAAAAAGCACCGGCUAACUACGUGCCAGCAGCCGCAGUAA